GAUGAAGAACGUAGCGAAAUGCGAUACGUAAUGUGAAUUGCAGAAUUCAGUGAAUCAUCGAAUCUUUGAACGCAUAUUGCGCUCUCUGGUAUUCCGGAGAGCAUGCUUGUUUGAGUAUCAGUAAACACCUCAACUUCCAUAUCUUUUUUGAAAUGGGAGUUGGACUUGAGUGAUCCCAACGCUUUUCCUCACCGAAAAGUGGCGGGUUACUUGAAAUGCAGGUGCAGCUGGACUUUUCUCUGAGCUAUAAGCAUAUCUAUUUAGUCUGCCUAAAAAACAGAUUAUUACCUUUGCUGCAGCUAACAUAAAGGAGAUUAGUUCUUGUGCUGACUGAUGCAGGAUUCACAAAGACAGCUUCGGCCGACUUUGUAAACUCGAUCUCAAAUCAAGUAAGACUACCCGCUGAACUUAAGCAUAUCAAUAAGCGGAGGC
rnacentral:misc_RNA from 1 species